UACGUAGGGUGCGAGCGUUAAUCGGAAUUACUGGGCGUAAAGGGUGCGUAGGUGGCGCGCUAAGUCAGGUGUGAAAUUUCGGGGCUUAACUCCGAAACUGCAUUUGAUACUGGCGUGCUUGAGGACUGGAGAGGAGACUGGAAUUCACGGUGUAGCAGUGAAAUGCGUAGAUAUCGUGAGGAAGACCAGUGGCGAAGGCGGGUCUCUGGACAGUUCCUGACACUGAGGCACGAAGGCCAGGGGAGCAAACGGG
rnacentral:rRNA from 1 species